CACAGUAUAUUUCGUAGGAAGGAAGUGGUCUGGUUUAUGUGAUCACGCCCACGUAUAUACGUAACGUUCCUGUGUGAAGUAAGUGUGUGUGCGCGUGAGAAGCUCGUGAACUUGAAAAGCAGGGAUGGCAACGUUUGAAGCCUUUAAAGCAUAGUUCGAAUUACGAGGGGUACUGGGGGGUACUAUACCCCCCAAUGAAGACCCAGUACCCCCCAAAGAGACAAAAAUCUAAGUUUUGGGGGGGUCCGAUAUUUUUUCUGAUAUUGUGAAAAGGAAUAUAUAAUUCAAACCAACUCCCAUUCAGCAUUCUUAUUGUAGGAACAUUUUAAUGUAAAUCGAUUUCAGACAGACACCCCUAUUAUGGACCGUACCAUUUUUAGUCACCGCAGCGCUAGAACGCGCUAGAAGCAACACCUUCUAGUCCACACCGUAUUCAGUGGAUUCCUCAGAUACAGUCCAUGGGUUUGCAGCAAUUUAUACAAUCUAUGGUUUGCAGCAGAAGACGUGCAUUGAGUUAUUGUGUUGAGUUACUGACACGGACUUCCAUAGACGGGACGGGACCGGGGGACGAUUGAUAUGAUAGUGGACCAUGAUGGUACCCCCCAAUUAUGGUGGGGUAAUUCGCACUCUGCUUUAAAGUUUGCUCGGUGAAGGAUAAAGUGGCGGUAAUCACGGGAGCGAGUUCGGGUAUCAGAGCUGGAACUGCGCUUCUCUUCGCCAGACUCGG